UUAAGCGACUAAGCGUACACGGUGGAUGCCCUGGCAGUCAGAGGCGAUGAAGGACGUGCUAAUCUGCGAAAAGCGUCGGUAAGGUGAUAUGAACCGUUAUAACCGGCGAUGUCCGAAUGGGGAAACCCAGUGCAAUUCGUUGCACUAUCGUUAACUGAAUACAUAGGUUAACGAGGCGAACCGGGGGAACUGAAACAUCUAAGUACCCCGAGGAAAAGAAAUCAACCGAGAUUCCCCCAGUAGCGGCGAGCGAACGGGGAGCAGCCCAGAGUCUGAAUCAGCUUGUGUGUUAGUGGAACGGUCUGGAAAGUCCGACGGUACAGGGUGAUAGUCCCGUACACCAAAAUGCACAGGCUGUGAACUCGAAGAGUAGGGCGGGACACGUGGUAUCCUGUCUGAAUAUGGGGGGACCAUCCUCCAAGGCUAAAUACUCCUGACUGACCGAUAGUGAACCAGUACCGUGAGGGAAAGGCGAAAAGAACCCCGGCGAGGGGAGUGAAAAAGAACCUGAAACCGUGUACGUACAAGCAGUGGGAGCACCUUCGGGUGUGACUGCGUACCUUUUGUAUAAUGGGUCAGCGACUUAUAUUCUGUAGCAAGGUUAACCGUAUAGGGGAGCCGCAGGGAAACCGAGUCUUAACUGGGCGUUAAGUUGCAGGGUAUAGACCCGAAACCCGGUGAUCUAGCCAUGGGCAGGUUGAAGGUUGGGUAACACUAACUGGAGGACCGAACCGACUAAUGUUGAAAAAUUAGCGGAUGACUUGUGGCUGGGGGUGAAAGGCCAAUCAAACCGGGAGAUAGCUGGUUCUCCCCGAAAGCUAUUUAGGUAGCGCCUCGUGAACUCAUCUUCGGGGGUAGAGCACUGUUUCGGCUAGGGGGUCAUCCCGACUUACCAACCCGAUGCAAACUACGAAUACCGAAGAAUGUUAUCACGGGAGACACACGGCGGGUGCUAACGUCCGUCGUGAAGAGGGAAACAACCCAGACCGCCAGCUAAGGUCCCAAAGUCAUGGUUAAGUGGGAAACGAUGUGGGAAGGCACAGACAGCCAGGAUGUUGGCUUAGAAGCAGCCAUCAUUUAAAGAAAGCGUAAUAGCUCACUGGUCGAGUCGGCCUGCGCGGAAGAUGUAACGGGGCUAAACCAUGCACCGAAGCUGCGGCAGCGACACUAUGUGUUGUUGGGUAGGGGAGCGUUCUGUAAGCCUGCGAAGGUGUGCUGUGAGGCAUGCUGGAGGUAUCAGAAGUGCGAAUGCUGACAUAAGUAACGAUAAAGCGGGUGAAAAGCCCGCUCGCCGGAAGACCAAGGGUUCCUGUCCAACGUUAAUCGGGGCAGGGUGAGUCGACCCCUAAGGCGAGGCCGAAAGGCGUAGUCGAUGGGAAACAGGUUAAUAUUCCUGUACUUGGUGUUACUGCGAAGGGGGGACGGAGAAGGCUAUGUUAGCCGGGCGACGGUUGUCCCGGUUUAAGCAUGUAGGCUGGUUAUCCAGGCAAAUCCGGAUAAUCAAGGCUGAGGUGUGAUGACGAGGCACUACGGUGCUGAAGUAACAAAUGCCCUGCUUCCAGGAAAAGCCUCUAAGCAUCAGGUAACAUCAAAUCGUACCCCAAACCGACACAGGUGGUCAGGUAGAGAAUACCAAGGCGCUUGAGAGAACUCGGGUGAAGGAACUAGGCAAAAUGGUGCCGUAACUUCGGGAGAAGGCACGCUGGUGUGUAGGUGAAGUCCCUGCGGAUGGAGCUGAGACCAGUCGAAGAUACCAGCUGGCUGCAACUGUUUAUUAAAAACACAGCACUGUGCAAACACGAAAGUGGACGUAUACGGUGUGACGCCUGCCCGGUGCCGGAAGGUUAAUUGAUGGGGUUAUCCGUAAGGAGAAGCUCUUGAUCGAAGCCCCGGUAAACGGCGGCCGUAACUAUAACGGUCCUAAGGUAGCGAAAUUCCUUGUCGGGUAAGUUCCGACCUGCACGAAUGGCGUAAUGAUGGCCAGGCUGUCUCCACCCGAGACUCAGUGAAAUUGAACUCGCUGUGAAGAUGCAGUGUACCCGCGGCAAGACGGAAAGACCCCGUGAACCUUUACUAUAGCUUGACACUGAACAUUGAGCCUUGAUGUGUAGGAUAGGUGGGAGGCUUUGAAGCGUGGACGCCAGUCUGCGUGGAGCCAACCUUGAAAUACCACCCUUUAAUGUUUGAUGUUCUAACGUUGGCCCCUGACCGGGGUUGCGGACAGUGUCUGGUGGGUAGUUUGACUGGGGCGGUCUCCUCCCAAAGCGUAACGGAGGAGCACGAAGGUUAGCUAAUCCUGGUCGGACAUCAGGAGGUUAGUGCAAUGGCAUAAGCUAGCUUGACUGCGAGCGUGACGGCGCGAGCAGGUGCGAAAGCAGGUCAUAGUGAUCCGGUGGUUCUGAAUGGAAGGGCCAUCGCUCAACGGAUAAAAGGUACUCCGGGGAUAACAGGCUGAUACCGCCCAAGAGUUCAUAUCGACGGCGGUGUUUGGCACCUCGAUGUCGGCUCAUCACAUCCUGGGGCUGAAGUAGGUCCCAAGGGUAUGGCUGUUCGCCAUUUAAAGUGGUACGCGAGCUGGGUUUAGAACGUCGUGAGACAGUUCGGUCCCUAUCUGUCGUGGGCGCUGGAGAAUUGAGGGGGGCUGCUCCUAGUACGAGAGGACCGGAGUGGACGCAUCACUGGUGUUCGGGUUGUCAUGCCAAUGGCACUGCCCGGUAGCUAAAUGCGGAAGAGAUAAGUGCUGAAAGCAUCUAAGCACGAAACUUGCCCCGAGAUGAGUUCUCCCUGAGACUUUAAGUCUCCUGAAGGAACGUUAAAGACGAUGACGUUGAUAGGCCGGGUGUGUAAGCGCAGCGAUGCGUUGAGCUAACCGGUACUAAUGAACCGUGAGGCUUAACCUU
rnacentral:rRNA from 1 species